rnacentral:tRNA from 1 species
UGGAUCACCUCCUAACAGGGAGACAAACAACGAUUUUGAUGUCUGGGUUUUUUUAUUCUUAGGCCAAAAUCCUGUCACCUUAGGUCGAUCGGUACCUCAACUUUGAAGUUAAGAGAAUUCAGAAAUGGAUUUCUGCUUAGUGGAGAUUUUUAGUUCCUAAACUUUGUCUAGUUCACAACCCAUUAGGGAUGAGACUCCUGGGCCAUUAGCUCAGGUGGUUAGAGCGCACCCCUGAUAAGGGUGAGGUCCCUGGUUCAAGUCCAGGAUGGCCCAUUCGGUCUAGGGGGUUUAGCUCAGUUGGUAGAGCGCCUGCUUUGCAAGCAGGAUGUCAGGAGUUCGAGUCUCCUAACCUCCACUGACUACCAAUAAUCCCCAUCUCCAAAACCUGGAGUAUGAACUCGUAUGGAUUGUGAUUUAGAUGUGUCCGCUAGAUGAUCCUAGCUUCUUGUCAUUUUAAGAUAUGGAAACAAUUCCAUGAUUUGAUUGAUAGGAUGCUGGGCUCGAUGCAAUGUAUUGAGAGAUCAAUGCAUUGUUUUGAUGUCUGGUCGAACCUUGACAACUGCAUAGUAAGUCUGGAAAAACAAAGCAUCUUACAGAUGCAUUGUUUUAAGUCUGAAUUCUCGAAAGAGAGUUUAGAUCUAGAACGAUGAAAAUUCUUUUAAGCAAGAGCCGAGACUCUUAGAUGUUCUUUUUAUCGUGUCGAGCGAUAAAGAGUUUGAUUUUGUUUUUAUGAGCAGCGAAAGUUGCUGAUGAAACCAGGAGAAUCUGCUUUCAACCGCAGUAAGCGUUUAAGAGGUUAAUUGGUCAAGCUACAAAGGGCUCACGGCGGAUACCUUGGCACACAGAGGCGAUGAACGG